rnacentral:rRNA from 1 species
CUUAACACAUGCAAGUCGAGCGAGAAUGUAUGAAUGAUACUUCGGUGGAUUCCAUACAGGAAAGCGGCGGACGGGUGAGUAACGCGUAGGCAACCUGCCCCAUACAGAGGGAUAGCGUCGGGAAACCGGCAUUAAAACCUCAUAACGCCAAAAGGUCACAUGGCCCUUUGGUCAAAGAUUUAUCGGUAUGGGAUGGGCCUGCGUCUGAUUAGUUAGUUGGUGGGGUAACGGCUCACCAAGGCGAUGAUCAGUAGCCGACCUGAGAGGGUGACCGGCCACAUUGGAACUGAGAGACGGUCCAAACUCCUACGGGAGGCAGCAGUGGGGAAUAUUGGGCAAUGGGCGAAAGCCUGACCCAGCAACGCCGCGUGAGGGAAGAAGGUUUUCGGAUUGUAAACCUCUGUCCUUGGGGACGAAGGAAGUGACGGUACCCAAGGAGGAAGCCCCGGCUAACUACGUGCCAGCAGCCGCGGUAAUACGUAGGGGGCGAGCGUUGUCCGGAAUGACUGGGCGUAAAGGGCGCGUAGGCGGCUUGAUAAGUUAGAAGUGAAAGUCCUGCUUUCAAGGUGGGAAUUGCUUUUAAUACUGUUGAGCUUGAGUGCAGAAGAGGUAAGCGGAAUUCCAAGUGUAGCGGUGAAAUGCGUAGAGAUUUGGAAGAACACCAGUGGCGAAGGCGGCUUACUGGGCUGUAACUGACGCUGAGGCGCGAAAGCGUGGGGAGCGAACAGGAUUAGAUACCCUGGUAGUCCACGCGGUAAACGAUGAAUGCUAGGUGUAGGGGGUAUCGACCCCUCCUGUGCCGGAGUAAACGCAAUAAGCAU